rnacentral:rRNA from 2 species
UUAAGCGACUAAGCGUACACGGUGGAUGCCCUGGCAGUCAGAGGCGAUGAAGGACGUGCUAAUCUGCGAAAAGCGCCGGCGAGGUGAUAUGAACCUUUGACCCGGCGAUGUCCGAAUGGGGAAACCCAGUGCAAUCCGUUGCACUAUCGUUAACUGAAUACAUAGGUUAACGAGGCGAACCGGGGGAACUGAAACAUCUAAGUACCCCGAGGAAAAGAAAUCAACCGAGAUUCCCCCAGUAGCGGCGAGCGAACGGGGAGCAGCCCGGAGUCUGAAUCAGCUUGUGUGUUAGUGGAACGGUCUGGAAAGUCCGACGGUACAGGGUGAUAGUCCCGUACACGAAAGCACACAUGCUGUGAACUCGAAGAGUAGGGCGGGACACGUGGUAUCCUGUCUGAAUAUGGGGGGACCAUCCUCCAAGGCUAAAUACUCCUGACUGACCGAUAGUGAACCAGUACCGUGAGGGAAAGGCGAAAAGAACCCCGGCGAGGGGAGUGAAAAAGAACCUGAAACCGUGUACGUACAAGCAGUGGGAGCCUCUUUAUGGGGUGACUGCGUACCUUUUGUAUAAUGGGUCAGCGACUUAUAUUCUGUAGCAAGGUUAACCGUAUAGGGGAGCCGAAGGGAAACCGAGUCUUAACUGGGCGUUAAGUUGCAGGGUAUAGACCCGAAACCCGGUGAUCUAGCCAUGGGCAGGUUGAAGGUUGGGUAACACUAACUGGAGGACCGAACCGACUAAUGUUGAAAAAUUAGCGGAUGACCUGUGGCUGGGGGUGAAAGGCCAAUCAAACCGGGAGAUAGCUGGUUCUCCCCGAAAGCUAUUUAGGUAGCGCCUCGUGAACUCAUCUUCGGGGGUAGAGCACUGUUUCGGCUAGGGGGCCAUCCCGGCUUACCAACCCGAUGCAAACUACGAAUACCGAAGAAUGUUAUCACGGGAGACACACGGCGGGUGCUAACGUCCGUCGUGAAGAGGGAAACAACCCAGACCGCCAGCUAAGGUCCCAAAGUCAUGGUUAAGUGGGAAACGAUGUGGGAAGGCACAGACAGCCAGGAUGUUGGCUUAGAAGCAGCCAUCAUUUAAAGAAAGCGUAAUAGCUCACUGGUCGAGUCGGCCUGCGCGGAAGAUGUAACGGGGCUAAACCAUGCACCGAAGCUGCGGCAGCGACGCUUAGGCGUUGUUGGGUAGGGGAGCGUUCUGUAAGCCGUUGAAGGUGUCCUGUGAGGGGUGCUGGAGGUAUCAGAAGUGCGAAUGCUGACAUAAGUAACGAUAAAGCGGGUGAAAAGCCCGCUCGCCGGAAGACCAAGGGUUCCUGUCCAACGUUAAUCGGGGCAGGGUGAGUCGACCCCUAAGGCGAGGCCGAAAGGCGUAGUCGAUGGGAAACAGGUUAAUAUUCCUGUACUUGGUGUUACUGCGAAGGGGGGACGGAGAAGGCUAUGUCAGCCGGGCGACGGUUGUCCCGGUUUAAGCAUGUAGGCGGAGGUUCCAGGUAAAUCCGGUACCUUAUUAACGCUGAGGUGUGAUGACGAGGCACUACGGUGCUGAAGUGAUAAAUGCCCUGCUUCCAGGAAAAGCCUCUAAGCAUCAGGUAACACGAAAUCGUACCCCAAACCGACACAGGUGGUCAGGUAGAGAAUACCAAGGCGCUUGAGAGAACUCGGGUGAAGGAACUAGGCAAAAUGGUGCCGUAACUUCGGGAGAAGGCACGCUGAUAUGUAGGUGAAGCCCCUGCGGGCGGAGCUGAAAUCAGUCGAAGAUACCAGCUGGCUGCAACUGUUUAUUAAAAACACAGCACUGUGCAAACACGAAAGUGGACGUAUACGGUGUGACGCCUGCCCGGUGCCGGAAGGUUAAUUGAUGGGGUUAGCGGCAACGCGAAGCUCUUGAUCGAAGCCCCGGUAAACGGCGGCCGUAACUAUAACGGUCCUAAGGUAGCGAAAUUCCUUGUCGGGUAAGUUCCGACCUGCACGAAUGGCGUAAUGAUGGCCAGGCUGUCUCCACCCGAGACUCAGUGAAAUUGAACUCGCUGUGAAGAUGCAGUGUACCCGCGGCAAGACGGAAAGACCCCGUGAACCUUUACUAUAGCUUGACACUGAACACUGGUCCUUGAUGUGUAGGAUAGGUGGGAGGCUUUGAAGCGUGGACGCCAGUCUGCGUGGAGCCAACCUUGAAAUACCACCCUUUAAUGGCUGGUGUUCUAACGUAGACCCGUAAUCCGGGUUGCGGACAGUGUCUGGUGGGUAGUUUGACUGGGGCGGUCUCCUCCCAAAGAGUAACGGAGGAGCACGAAGGUUGGCUAAUCCUGGUCGGACAUCAGGAGGUUAGUGCAAUGGCAUAAGCCAGCUUGACUGCGAGCGUGACGGCGCGAGCAGGUGCGAAAGCAGGUCAUAGUGAUCCGGUGGUUCUGAAUGGAAGGGCCAUCGCUCAACGGAUAAAAGGUACUCCGGGGAUAACAGGCUGAUACCGCCCAAGAGUUCAUAUCGACGGCGGUGUUUGGCACCUCGAUGUCGGCUCAUCACAUCCUGGGGCUGAAGUAGGUCCCAAGGGUAUGGCUGUUCGCCAUUUAAAGUGGUACGCGAGCUGGGUUUAGAACGUCGUGAGACAGUUCGGUCCCUAUCUGCCGUGGGCGCUGGAGAAUUGAGGGGGGCUGCUCCUAGUACGAGAGGACCGGAGUGGACGCAUCACUGGUGUUCGGGUUGUCAUGCCAAUGGCACUGCCCGGUAGCUAAAUGCGGAAGAGAUAAGUGCUGAAAGCAUCUAAGCACGAAACUUGCCCCGAGAUGAGUUCUCCCUGAGACCUUGAGUCUCCUGAAGGAACGUUGAAGACGACGACGUUGAUAGGUCGGGUGUGUAAGCGCAGCGAUGCGUUGAGCUAACCGAUACUAAUGAACCGUGAGGCUUAACCUU